CACGUAGGGCGCAAGCGUUGUCCGGAAUUAUUGGGCGUAAAGAGCUCGUAGGCGGUCUGUUGCGUCUGCUGUGAAAACCCGGGGCUUAACCCCUGGCUUGCAGUGGAUACGGACAGACUAGAGGUAGGUAGGGGAGAAUGGAAUUCCCGGUGUAGCGGUGAAAUGCGCAGAUAUCAGGAGGAACACCGGUGGCGAAGGCGGGUCUCUGGGCCGAAAUUGACGCUGAGGAGCGAAAGCGUGGGGAGCAAACAGG
rnacentral:rRNA from 1 species